rnacentral:rRNA from 1 species
GAUGAACGCUGCGGCGUGCCUAAUACCUGCAAGUCGAGCGAACGGACGAGAAGCUUGCUUCUCUGAUGUUAGCGGCGGACGGGUGAGUAACACGUGGAUAACCUACCUAUAAGACUGGGAUAACUUCGGGAAACCGGAGCUAAUACCGGAUAAUAUUUUGAACCGCAUGGUUCAAAAGUGAAAGACGGUCUUGCUGUCACUUAUAGAUGGAUCCGCGCUGCAUUAGCUAGUUGGUAAGGUAACGGCUUACCAAGGCAACGAUGCAUAGCCGACCUGAGAGGGUGAUCGGCCACACUGGAACUGAGACACGGUCCAGACUCCUACGGGAGGCAGCAGUAGGGAAUCUUCCGCAAUGGGCGAAAGCCUGACGGAGCAACGCCGCGUGAGUGAUGAAGGUCUUCGGAUCGUAAAACUCUGUUAUUAGGGAAGAACAUAUGUGUAAGUAACUGUGCACAUCUUGACGGUACCUAAUCAGAAAGCCACGGCUAACUACGUG